rnacentral:rRNA from 1 species
CGGUAGGGGAAGGGAGGAAGAUCUGGCGGCAGGCCUACACAUGCAAGUCGAACGGUAACAGGAAACAGCUUGCUGUUUCGCUGACGAGUGGCGGACGGGUGAGUAAUGUCUGGGAAACUGCCUGAUGGAGGGGGAUAACUACUGGAAACGGUAGCUAAUACCGCAUAACGUCGCAAGACCAAAGAGGGGGACCUUCGGGCCUCUUGCCAUCGGAUGUGCCCAGAUGGGAUUAGCUUGUUGGUGGGGUAACGGCUCACCAAGGCGACGAUCCCUAGCUGGUCUGAGAGGAUGACCAGCCACACUGGAACUGAGACACGGUCCAGACUCCUACGGGAGGCAGCAGUGGGGAAUAUUGCACAAUGGGCGCAAGCCUGAUGCACCAUGCCGGGGGUAUGAAAAGGCCUUCGGGUUGGAAAGUACUUUCCGGGAAAGGAG